rnacentral:rRNA from 1 species
GACGAACGCUGGCGGCGUGGAUUAGGCAUGCAAGUCGAACGGUAGGGGCCUUUCGGGGCCCUGAGAGUGGCGAACGGGUGAGUAACACGUAGGUUAUCUACCCUCAAAUCGGGGACAACCCAGGGAAACUUGGGCUAAUACCGGAUGAGUGCAGCGAUGCAUAAAAGGUGGCUGGCGACAGCUGCCGUUUGAGGAUGAGCCUGCGCCCUAUUAGUUAGUUGGUGAGGUAAUGGCUUACCAAGGCGAUGAUAGGUAGGCGGCCUUAACGGGUGGUCGCCCACACUGGGAUUGAGAUACGGCCCAGACUCCUACGGGAGGCAGCAGUCGAGAAUAGUCUACAAUGGUCGAAAGACUGAUAGUGCGACGCCGCGUGAACGAAGAAGCCCUUCGGGGUGUAAAGUUCUUUUAUAUGUGAGCAAUGGGCGCCAUGUGAACAGUAUGGUGUCAGAGAUAUUAGCAUAUGAAUAAGCAACGGCUAACUCCGUGCCAGCAGCCGCGGUAACACGGGGGUUGCAAGCGUUGUCCGGAAUUACUAGGCGUAAAGGGCAGGUAGGCGGAUCCAUAAGUUUGAUGUUAAAGGCAGCGGCUCACCCGUUGUACGGCAUCAGAUACUGUGGAUCUGGAAUGCGGUUGGGGAAGACAGAAUUCCUGGUGUAGCGGUGGAAUGCGCAGAGAUCAGGAGGAAUACCAAAGGCGAAGGCAGUCUUCUAAGCCGAUAUUGACGCUAAACUGCGAAGGUGUGGGUAUCAAACAGGAUUAGAUACCCUGGUAGUCCACACAGUAAACGAUAAUCACUAGGUGUCGGGUUCGAAUGGGAUUCGGUGCCGUAGCUAACGCGAUAAGUGAUUCGCCUGGGGAGUACGAUCGCAAGGUUGA